GACAAUCAGCCAAUGGAAAGCCAGCUAGUCAGAAUGGCGCAAAACAUACAGCCUCUUUGCUGAAUUGAUUUAUUUUAGUAAAUUAUAGCUAGCUAGGUAAACAACAACAUAGACAGCCUUUUUGUUGUUGAUACACCACGACAAUAAGACGUUCAGAGACUGUACAAGCUAGCCAGCUUUUUAUGAUUACACUAACAUUAUGAAGUUGAGUCCCUAGCCUAAAGCGUUAGCUGAUGAUGUCCAGUCUCCCUCAAAAUAAUUUGGAAGAACUUGAGAUACAUAGCAAUGGUGCUCACAGCAAAUUGUCGUUGUUUAAACCCAAACCAGGAUCAUCAAAGUAGAUGGAGUGAAACAGCUGUCAUAGAUCUUGAUGACAAGUCGGAGCUAGAUGAAGACCUAGAUUGCACCCCCCCCCCUUUCCACAAGCCUAGAGGAUUUCAGUCAUUCUAUUUCUACAAAGGAAACAAGAUUGAAGUCAGCUGGCUCUGCAGUCAGUCAAGGCAAUCGCCCUGUAUCAACAAGGGUGUCAAGCCUGCAGAGUGUCUGAUGGUCCUCCUAAAAAAGAAGAGUCACCAAUCUAAAAUCAGAAGAUCCGUUUUUGAGUAUCAUGGAGUCCAUCAGUGCUCUGGUGGAUUCCAUUCCCAAGCAUGA
rnacentral:lncRNA from 8 species